UAUUUUUCCUUUCCGCAAAUCUGAGAAAAUAUUAUAAUAUUUUCUCAGAUUUGCGGAAGGGAAAAAUAAA